CUCCUUGCGAUCUCGGCUUUGUCGCGAGUUCGAGAGGAAGGCGCCGCCAUGUGGGUCCGAUUCACUGUCUCGUUGUGCCCACUCCCUGGCUCCGUGUGAACGCCCCCGCGAUGCCGCCGCCUCCUCCUCGUGUGACGCCCUAGCGAGACCGCGACACCGCAGCCUCCUCCUCGCAAUGCCACCGCCUCAACCUUGGGCAACUCCCUCGCGACAUCGCGGCAUCCUCCGUGCGACCUCGGCUCCGUCCACCUCAAUCUCGAUCCGUCACCACCAGGCCAACGCCAUCGAACGUUGCCGCCUCCACCAUCGCCCGCCGCUGCCCUGACGCGACGCAGCAGGAUCGCCAGGUGUGCCAAUCCCUUCUCAUCCCUUCGUUUGCUUUUCGUUGGCAGGACCGCAGGAUCGCCAGGUUUGUGUUGACGCGCCGCACCAGCCGCUUGCCCUGACGCUCCGCCGUCGAAGCCCACUGUUGUUCGCCGUGCUAGGAGCCGCUCCGACAAGCCGCCGUUUGAACUUGGCCAAGUCACCAGCAACACGCAAUGUGGUUGCGGUGGGCACAGGAGGUCGGGGGAACCACCCCAGCAAGCUGUUGCCCAAGACUAAACUGCCUCGCCACCGCCGCUCCCGAUCUGGGCGACUGAUUUUCUCUGGUGAUGGCAGCAGCACGGGAGAGCAGGGAGCUACGAUGGAAACACCAUGAGCCAGCAAAAUCUCAUCGCAAGGAAGUGGGUAAUGUAACGCGGGCAACAUGUUCGACAAAAUGUCCACGAAGAGGCUCAUGCUGUGUCUCCAUGCUACCAAACCUCGAAAGUGUGUGAUUGCUCUGUCAUCAUCUGCACCAGCUUCUACUCCGUAUGUCAUAAAACUGUAUUUUCUUUUCCUGCUUCGUUUGUUUGCAUGUGCUAAGGCCAUCCUAUUAUGUUCACCUAACCAUGUGCAACAAUAUAAUUUUAAUCAUUCUCAGUAGCAUGUGUAACUUAGAUUCAAUGUCUGGAGUGUAUUUCAAGAGUUCAGCACUUGGUCAAAUUUGAUUUGAUUGUCAUUUUCAUUAUUUAAUUUUGCAACUGAAACAAAUAGAUGUACUGCUCUAGCGAAAAAGCAACCAUGUGAAAUCCAUGUUCUGAUCUUGAGAAACAAGUCAACAACAAUCAUGUGAGAUAUAUGUUCUGAUUGAAUUUCAAAAGGAAGUAGUUAUCUGACUGAAUUUAUUUCAUGACAAAUUUGGGAAUCGUAUCAGUAAAGUAGGCAUGAGCUAGCUGAUUUUAAAAAAUUGACCAAUUGUAAUGAGUUGUUGAGCCAGCAGUAGAUUAGGGUAAGUUGUUGAUUCACUAUUUUUUCUAGCUGAUGGAUAAGUAAGAAGAGAUGAAAAUGCAACACCUUUUCUGGAAAGUGAGAAGGGAAUGAGUCUCUAUCACACAUGCUUCAGCACACGGUCCUCCAUAAAGCUGAACGGGUGAUGAGAGGAUGAUAUGCUGCUGAUGAACUGGUGACCUAUACUACUACAACCACAUCAAAUAUUUUUGUGGUGUUUCAGAUGUUUUCUUUCUUACUGGUGUAAGGGUCAAAUAAUGCCUCUUUUAAUUUUGAUGUAUUGUUCCGAUCAUCAGAACAAUGGUUAAAUUUGUAUUCUGUUGGUACAGCAGGGCUAGCAUGCCUGGAGCCUUCAAAAAUCACUACACAAUUCAAAGUAUGUUUGUGGCUAGAAUAACAGUGUCAAAUAUAUCACAUGAUUCAGUAUAAAAUGUUUCCCAUAUAUAAUCUAUGUUUUUGCAGACGCAUAUAUUAUCUUUUGGUUGGUUCAAUUGUGUUUCUAGAUCACACUGUAGUGUUCCAAUAUGCUCCAACCUUGAUUUAUUUUUUCUUGGAUUUCAUGUAUUACUUAAUGAAACAAUAAACUACCCUAGGUUAAUUUGCUUGUGUGUGUGGGCCUAGGUUAAUUUGCUUGUGAAGUAUGGCAUAAAAGUUGACAAGGAUGAUGCCCACCAUGUAUUCACUGAAAUACCCUCAAGUUCUGUUGUCUACGGAGCCAGCGGAUAAGCUUUGUUCUACUAUCCUUGAUGAACAUCCAUGCUGCAGCACUCCUACCGUUGACAUGUCUCCAUAGUGGUCGUGGCCCGUGGCAACGCGGUAAGAAAGGAUGUUGGUCAGGAGUGGCCCACCACUGAGCCGAUGGUAGCCCAUACUUGUCUAUGCUUAUUUUUGUGAGUGACAGAUAAUCUAUUUUCUUGAUAUACUAACAUGGAUCUUCUUUUCUUCGUAUGGUUGGCAAAGCACUAUGUCUGGAUCGUAUGUCAUUAUCCAUGUGUUAGACAUGGUAGUUUGUUGUACAAACUGCUUGGGUGUUUGUGUUUUGUGUUGAUUUCAAAUACACAUGGAUAUUGUUUUUAUGUUUCUUCUCUGAUUUUAUGUCCAAAUUGUGAGUUCAUUGUCAUGUUGUCUGGGAAAGCCAGUUGGGUUGCAUUGUAUUAGCUUAUGCUUGGUAGAAUUGCCACAUACUAGCUACUAUUAUUCCAUGGUUUAAAACUUGAUGUUAGACCUUCAAACUGAACAAGAGAAAAGGAAGCACAUUGUUUGCUUUGUAUGAUGCCUUCAGAUUUGGGGUAAUUUGAGCGCAUCUAAUUUCUAGCUAGAUUUCUGUAUGAUGCCUUCAGAAAUGCACCUUAUAACAUGCUUUGUAUGAUGCCUUCGGAAAUGCUAAGCUCCGGUUUUAUUAGUUUGAUACUCAGUUUGACCCCUUCGUCAGUUUGAUACUCAGUUUGCAUCGACUUAUGCUCUGUAUGAUAAAAUUUUUGGAUAGAAAAAAUAGGAUUGACCCUUUUAUCAGUUUAGUUAACUUUUAUCAUACCUCCUUAGGUUCAGUGUUUCCACCAAGUAAAUUCUGUAUCUGCAGUUAUCUAUUUUAACUAUAUACUCCGUUUACUGCAUAUUUGUAGUCAUGCCAUGGAACAUAAUAUGAAACUGUCUACUCUAUUGGAGUUAACUACCAGUUGCACAAGCAACUCAGAGCACCAUCUAUGGAAAUAUCAAGAAGCUUGAAGUCAGGUUGUACACCACGGGAGAAGAUCAAGCAUGCAAUGAAAAUAUUGAGUUUUGGAAGUGUGUGUUUUUUUACCAAUAGUGGGAACAGUACAUCAUACUGGAGGGAGUAGGCGAGUAGCAAUACUUUCUGUUGGCCAGGGUGAAAAUGGAGUUGUUAUAUUGCCUCAGAUUCUUUCUAGAUUCUCAUUAGGUUUUGGUCUCAGAAACUUUUAGAGAAUCUUUUGUAAUUGGAUUGCCUUAUAUUAAUUCUUGUCAUCACUCUCCGUUUA